GCGGGUUUAGCUCAGUUGGGAGAGCGUCAGACUGAAGUUCCACUUCAUUCGAAAAGCCUUAAUUCAAACAAGGUCAAUCUGAAGGUCGUGUGUUCGAUCCACACAAACCGCA